rnacentral:rRNA from 1 species
GGAGUAUGGACCGUGUCUCAGUUCCAUUGUGGCCGUUCAUCCUCUCAGACCGGCUACCGAUCGUCGGUUUGGUGGGCUCUUACCCCGCCAACUGCCUAAUCGGACGCAGGCUCCUCACAAAGCGAUAAAUCUUUAAUGCGGUGCUCAUGCGAACUCCGCACAACAUCCGGUAUUAGCGUCCCUUUCGGAACGUUGUCCCGUCUUUGUGGCAGAUUACCUGCGCUUUACUCACCCGUUCGCCACUAAAACCCCGAAGG